GAUGAACGCUGGCGGCGUGCCUAAUACAUGCAAGUCGAGCGAACGGACGAGAAGCUUGCUUCUCUGAUGUUAGCGGCGGACGGGUGAGUAACACGUGGAUAACCUACCUAUAAGGCUGGGAUAACUUCGGGAAACCGGAGCUAAUACCGGAUAAUAUUUUGAACCGCAUGGUUCAAAAGUGAAAGACGGUCUUGCUGUCACUUAUAGAUGGAUCCGCGCUGCAUUAGCUAGUUGGUAAGGUAACGGCUUACCAAGGCAACGAUGCAUAGCCGACCUGAGAGGGUGAUCGGCCACACUGGAACUGAGACACGGUCCAGACUCCUACGGGAGGCAGCAGUAGGGAAUCUUCCGCAAUGGGCGAAGGCCUGACGGAGCAACGCCGCGUGAGUGAUGAAGGUCUUCGGAUCGUAAAACUCUGUUAUUAGGGAAGAACAUAUGUGUAAGUAACUGUGCACAUCUUGACGGUACCUAAUCAGAAAGCCACGGCUAACUACGUG
rnacentral:rRNA from 1 species